AUUGAACGCUGGCGGCAUGCCUUACACAUGCAAGUCGAACGGUAACAGGUCUUCGGAUGCUGACGAGUGGCGAACGGGUGAGUAAUACAUCGGAACGUGCCCGAGAGUGGGGGAUAACGAGGCGAAAGCUUUGCUAAUACCGCAUACGAUCUCAGGAUGAAAGCAGGGGACCGCAAGGCCUUGCGCUCACGGAGCGGCCGAUGGCAGAUUAGGUAGUUGGUGGGAUAAAAGCUUACCAAGCCGACGAUCUGUAGCUGGUCUGAGAGGACGACCAGUCACACUGGGACGUAGACACGGCCCAGACUCCUACUGGAGGGAGCAGUGGUGAAUUUUAGACAAGGGGCGCAAGCCUGAUCCAGCCAUGCCGCGUGCAGGAUGAAGGCCUUCGGGUUGUAAACUGCUUUUGUACGGAACGAAAAGACUCUGGUUAAUACCUGGGGUCCAUGACGGUACCGUAAGAAUAAGCACCGGCUAACUACGUGCCAGCAGCCGCAGUAAAAC
rnacentral:rRNA from 1 species